rnacentral:ncRNA from 1 species
UAUAAAACAAUGACAAGAAAAGUACAUAUAGAAUAAGUCUUACAGAGAGGGCGAUAGCUGAGAUAGCCUAGAUUUUAUUUGUAUGGAAGUGCAUCUUUGAGUUUUGUAGCUGACUAAUUAGGCUAUGACAGUGCGAGUGUUAUAUCGCAAAUGAGUUUUCUAGAUAUUUUCUAGAGAUGAAUUUAGGUGGAAUCACGGGUAGACCUCGUCCUUUUG